GUGGGGAAUAUUGCGCAAUGGCCGAAAGGCUGACGCAGCGACGCCGCGUGGGGGAUGAAGCAUUUCGGUGUGUAAACCCCUGUUGCUCGGGACGAACAACUGGAUUUUUCCAGUCUGACGGUACCGGGUGAGGAAGCACCGGCUAACUCCGUGCCAGCAGCCGCGGUAAUACGGAGGGUGCGAGCGUUGUCCGGAAUCACUGGGCGUAAAGGGCGCGUAGGUGGUCUGCUAAGCGUGCGGUGAAAGCCCGGGGCUCAACCCCGGGUCUGCCGUGCGAACUGGUGGACUAGAGCACUGUAGAGGCAGGUGGAAUUCCGGGUGUAGCGGUGGAAUGCGUAGAGAUCCGGAAGAACACCGGUGGCGAAGGCGGCCUGCUGGGCAGUUGCUGACACUGAGGCGCGACAGCGUGGGGAGCAAACAGGAUUAGAAACCCUAGUAGUCC
rnacentral:rRNA from 1 species